GAUGAACGCUGACAGAAUGCUUAACACAUGCAAGUCGAUGGGGAAGUGGUGCUUGCACCAUGGUAACCAUGGCGGACGGGUGAGUAACGCGUAAGGAACUUGCCUGCGGGACUGGGAUAACAGCAGGAAACUGCUGAUAAUACCGGAUAAGGUCAUUAAGCUGCAUAGCUUAGUGAUGAAAGGAGACGCCUGCGGAGAGCCUUGCGUCCUAUUAGCUAGUUGGAGGGGUAACGGCCCACCAAGGCGAAGAUAGGUAGCCGGCCUGAGAGGGUGGACGGCCACAAGGGGACUGAGAUACGGCCCCUACUCCUACGGGAGGCAGCAGUGGGGAAUAUUGGACAAUGGGGGCAACCCUGAUCCAGCAAUUCUGUGUGCACGAAGACGGUUUUCGGAUUGUAAAGUGCUUUCAGCAGGGAAGAAGGAAGUGACGGUACCUGCAGAAGAAGCGACGGCUAAAUACGUG
rnacentral:rRNA from 1 species